UGGGGAAUAUUGCGCAAUGGGCGAAAGCCUGACGCAGCAACGCCGCGUGAGGGAUGAAGGCCUUCGGGUUGUAAACCUCUUUCAGCAGGGAAGAAGCGAAAGUGACGGUACCUGCAGAAGAAGCACCGGCUAACUACGUGCCAGCAGCCGCGGUAAUACGUAGGGUGCAAGCGUUGUCCGGAUUUAUUGGGCGUAAAGAGCUCGUAGGCGGUUAGUCACGUCGGAUGUGAAAAUCCAAGGCUUAACCUUGGACCUGCAUUCGAUACGGGCUGACUAGAGUGUUGUAGGGGAGACUGGAACUCCUGGUGUAGCGGUGAAAUGCGCAGAUAUCAGGAAGAACACCGAUGGCGAAGGCAGGUCUCUGGGCAACUACUGACGCUGAGGAGCGAAAGCGUGGGGAGCAAACAGG
rnacentral:rRNA from 1 species